rnacentral:antisense_RNA from 1 species
UUUUUUGGUGGCUCGACGAGCAGGCGCAAGCCUGGCCGGUUCGCGCAAGCGGGUUCCCGGUAGACCAACUCGUCGAGCCACCGCCCCG